rnacentral:lncRNA from 1 species
AGCCGCCCGGGAGAAGAUGGCUGCCCCAGCAGUGUCCGGGCUCUCCCGGCAGGUGAGAGAAAGGUGGUCCUGAGAGCCAGUGGGAGGAUCCCUCCUGGGAUGACCGGUACCAAACCUCGAGCACCAGGGUGCGAUGCUUCGGCUGGGGAAGUCUGGCAGUCUUCAAGGUUAUGGGACCUGGCGAGUGGGAGCGACUCAGGACGACCCAGCGUUUGUCCCCCGGGAUGCCUACGGGGCAGUAGGCGCGGGGCUGCGCGUGCCGUAACCUUGGCGUCUUCCGAGCACAGCCCCUGGAAGCUGCUAGCCUGAGGGGCGCAGGAGAGGGGGUCUGCCCUUCGCUGAAUUCCGGGGAAGGGGCAUGGACUAGCCCCCAAAUCAGCUUCCUUUGCCAUUGUGGUGCGAUGCUUCAGUACCUCUGUGGUCAGACCAUUUGCCAAGCUUGUGAGGCCUCCUGUUCAGGUAUACGGUA